UAGAGGGAAGGAGACAGCUGGCUUUGCUGACUGCUUGACGGUGCAGCAUGAAGGUGAAGAAGCUGUCAGAGGACUGCUUGCCCAAGGAAAAGGUUUAAAAUAUGAUAUGAAGCAAGGCAGCAAGAACAGAGAGCAACUGGUGAUCUGAUGGCUCUGUGUUUAGCAUGGUGAAUCACACUGCACAAGCUUGCCCUAGAAAUAUCUGCAGGAGUAUGAGAGGAGCAUUGCCAACCUAGAGCAAGGUUCUAAAUGUAGAUUAAGUCUUGGCACUCCAAUAUCAAAGUGAAGGUCAAUGGAAUUAGAAGGAUGUAACUCUGUUUAGGAAUGCACUAUAAAGACAUCUCUGUCUAGGCUUGGAGUAAGAUAGAAAUGGGUCAGGGAAAGAUGCAUUGAUUGAGAAUGGAUGAAGUUACUUUCUCAACACAUGCUCCAAAAAGGAAUGUUAAUAUGUGAAAAUCUAAGAAUGGGUUUGCCACCAAUGGCUGAACCUUAAGCAAAGAUGCAUCAUUCAAGAAUUGUUGAAAUUGCUUAAAACUUCUCCUAUGGAAAUACAAUGACUGAAUAGUAAAAGGCUUUGUGAGAAUGCAGCAUAAGGUAAAUCUACAUAAUUUGAAUUUAAUUGACUUUAUACCUCAUGAAUAUCUCUUAAAUUUGUCUCUGAAGUUAAGGCAAUGAUAGCCUCGUGUUUUCUCAGCUCUCUCCUGUAAACAGACUUUGACUCUUGCUGGGCAAAGAGACACAAGGGUCAUUUCAUGAUAUUUAUAUUUUUGAUGGAAUGAAAUAGUUUUAUGGACUUUUGCUCAUAAAAAAAGCUUCAAGUCACUGGAUACCAGCAUAAGCCUUGCAUCUAAUAUCUGAGCACAGUGUAAAAGCAAACUGCAACAAGACUUUGCAUCAUGUCUUAGCAUCUUCCUUUUUCAUUUUUUUCUUGUGACAUUCAUCCUGAAAAAAAGUUCUGGAGAGCUUGAAAGCUUGUACAUGCUUUGGUGUCAUUUGGUUGGUCCUAAUAAAAAGGUAUUCUGGG